GGCUUGCCACCAUCUGAGGAGAUCUGUGAGGAAGGACCCCUGGUAACAUUUUGGCGACCACGAAGGGACCUCCAAAGCGGGAGAAAGCAUUGAUGGUGAGGAGAAAAACAGCUGGUAUCACACUCUACCCAAGUCCCAAAAGCAGGUUCACAUAACUCCUGUCUUCAUUAUCUGAUAUCCGAUGAUAUGAUACGAUAUUUGGAAAAACCUGAAGUCACCACCAAAAUACUAUUAGAACUGAUAAACAAAUUCAGUAAAGUUGCAGGAUACGAAACAACAUACAAAAAUCAGGAGUAUUUUUAUGUGCCCAAAGUAAACAAUCUGAAAAAUAAAUCAGAAGAGUAAUCCAUUUA